rnacentral:rRNA from 1 species
CAAUAGCGUAUACUUUUGAUGUUGCAGUUAAAAAGCUCGUAGCUGAUCUUAAAGAGUUUGCAAAUGUUCUUUUUUCUUUUUGAGAAAAGGGUGUUUGCAAAAUUUUCCUUGCAGUGGUCCCCUUUGAGCACUUCGGUGUUUGAAGGUUUUUUUGGUACUGCUGUGGGAACUCUUUUACUUUUCAGAGACCUUGUUCUGUUCUUAACUGAAUGGGACUUGGGAUUUGGAACGUUUACUGUGAGAAAAUUAGAGUGUUCAAAGCAGGCUUUACGCUUCUGAAUACAUUAGCAUGGAAUAAUGAAAAUAGGACUUCUGUCUUAUUUUUGUUGGUUUUAAAGCCAGAAGUAAUGACUAAUAGGGACGGUCGGGGGCAUUCAUAUUUCCCAGUCAGAGGUGAAAUUCUAUGACCUGGGAAAGAUGAACAUAUGCGAAAGCAUUUGCCAAGGACGUUUUCGAUUAG